CAGCCGCCGCGGUAAUACGUAGGGUGCGAGCGUUAAUCGGAAUUACUGGGCGUAAAGCGAGCGCAGACGGUUAUUUAAGCAGGAUGUGAAAUCCCCGGGCUUAACCUGGGAACUGCGUUCUGAACUGGAUAGCUAGAGUGUGUCAGAGGGGGGUAGAAUUCCACGUGUAGCAGUGAAAUGCGUAGAGAUGUGGAGGAAUACCGAUGGCGAAGGCAGCCCCCUGAGAUAGCACUGACGUUCAUGCUCGAAAGCGUGGGUAGCAAACAGGAUUAGAUACCCCCGUAGUCCCUGUCUCUUAUAC
rnacentral:rRNA from 1 species